CCUACGGAGGCAGCAGUGAGGAAUAUUGGUCAAUGGGCGAGAGCCUGAACCAGCCAAGUCGCGUGAAGGAUGAAGGUUCUAUGGAUUGUAAACUUCCUUUGUCCGAGGGUAAAAAAGGCUACGUGUAGCUUCUUGCAAGUAUCGGACGAAUAAGCAUCGGCUAACUCCGUGCCAGCAGCCGCGGUAAU
rnacentral:rRNA from 1 species